rnacentral:tRNA from 1 species
GCCUGGGUGGCUUAAUCAGUUAAGCGUCAGACUUUGGCUCAGGUCAUAAUCUCAUGGUUCAUGAGUUCGAGUCCCGUGUCAGGCU